AUGAACGCUGGCGGCGUGCCUAAUACAUGCAAGUCGAGCGAACAGACGAGGAGCUUGCUCCUCUGACGUUAGCGGCGGACGGGUGAGUAACACGUGGAUAACCUACCUAUAAGACUGGGAUAACUUCGGGAAACCGGAGCUAAUACCGGAUAAUAUAUUGAACCGCAUGGUUCAAUAGUGAAAGACGGUUUUGCUGUCACUUAUAGAUGGAUCCGCGCCGCAUUAGCUAGUUGGUAAGGUAACGGCUUACCAAGGCAACGAUGCGUAGCCGACCUGAGAGGGUGAUCGGCCACACUGGAACUGAGACACGGUCCCGACUCCUACGGGAGGCAGCAGUCGGGAAUCUUCCGCAAUGGGCGAAAGCCUGACGGAGCAACGCCGCGUGAGUGAUGAAGGUCUUCGGAUCGUAAAACUCUGUUAUUAGGGAAGAACAAAUGUGUAAGUAACUAUGCACGUCUUGACGGUACCUAAUCAGAAAGCCACGGCUAACUACGUG
rnacentral:rRNA from 1 species